rnacentral:rRNA from 1 species
AAUUUUUAAUAAAAUUUUAUCUUAAUAAAAAGUGAAAUUAGAUUAUUAAAUGUAAAAUUUUAUUUAAUUUUAAUAUAAUGAAGCUUAAAAAAUUAAGGUAUGAAUUAGGAUUAGAUACCCUAGUACACUUUAAAUUAAUUAUAAAAAAAAAAAACUGGAAUACUAAAAGUUAUAUUCUUUAAAUUUAAAAAAUUUGGCGGUAUUUUAGUCUAGUUAGAGGAACCUGUUUUUUAAACGACAAUACACGCAUUAUCUUACUUAUUCUAGUAAUCAGUUUGUAUACCGUCAUUAUAAGAUAAUUUAAGAGAGAAUAUUAUUAAAAUCAUAUUAUGUGAGUAUAUUAGAUCAAGGUGCAGCUAAUGAAUAAGAAAAAAUGGGUUACAAUAAAAUUUAUUUAUACGGAUUUAAUAUUUAAAUAUAUUAAUGAAGGAGGAUUUAAUUGUAAAAUAAAAUUAAUAGGUUUU